GGCUCAGGACGAACGCUGGCGGCGUGCUUAACACAUGCAAGUCGAACGAUGAAGCCCUUCGGGGUGGAUUAGUGGCGAACGGGUGAGUAACACGUGGGCAAUCUGCCCUUCACUCUGGGACAAGCCCUGGAAACGGGGUCUAAUACCGGAUAAUACUUCCCACCGCAUGGUGGGGGGUUGAAAGCUCCGGCGGUGAAGGAUGAGCCCGCGGCCUAUCAGCUUGUUGGUGGGGUGAUGGCCUACCAAGGCGACGACGGGUAGCCGGCCUGAGAGGGCGACCGGCCACACUGGGACUGAGACACGGCCCAGACUCCUACGGGAGGCAGCAGUGGGGAAUAUUGCACAAUGGGCGAAAGCCUGAUGCAGCGACGCCGCGUGAGGGAUGACGGCCUUCGGGUUGUAAACCUCUUUCAGCAGGGAAGAAGCGCAAGUGACGGUACCUGCAGAAGAAGCGCCGGCUAACUACGUGCCAGCAGCCGCGGUAAUACGUAGGGCGCAAGCGUUGUCCGGAAUUAUUGGGCGUAAAGAGCUCGUAGGCGGCUUGUCACGUCGGAUGUGAAAGCCCGGGGCUUAACCCCGGGUCUGCAUUCGAUACGGGCUAGCUAGAGUGUGGUAGGGGAGAUCGGAAUUCCUGGUGUAGCGGUGAAAUGCGCAGAUAUCAGGAGGAACACCGGUGGCGAAGGCGGAUCUCUGGGCCAUUACUGACGCUGAGAGCGAAA
rnacentral:rRNA from 1 species